GACGAACGCUGGCGGCGUGCUUAACACAUGCAAGUCGAACGAUGACGCUAGAGCUUGCUCUGGUGGAUUAGUGGCGAACGGGUGAGUAACACGUGAGUAACCUGCCCCGAACUCUGGGAUAACUGCUGGAAACGGUAGCUAAUACCGGAUAUGACCAAUGAAGGCAUCUUCUGUUGGUGGAAAGAAUUUCGGUCCGGGAUGGACUCGCGGCCUAUCAGCUUGUUGGUGAGGUAACGGCUCACCAAGGCGACGACGGGUAGCCGGCCUGAGAGGGUGAUCGGCCACACUGGGACUGAGACACGGCCCAGACUCCUACGGGAGGCAGCAGUGGGGAAUAUUGCACAAUGGGCGCAGGCCUGAUGCAGCAACGCCGCGUGAGGGACGACGGCCUUCGGGUUGUAAACCUCUUUUAGUAGGGAAGAAGCGAAAGUGACGGUACCUGCAGAAAAAGCACCGGCUAACUACGUGCCAGCCGCCGCCGUAA
rnacentral:rRNA from 1 species